rnacentral:rRNA from 1 species
GACGAACGCUGGCGGCGUGCUUAACACAUGCAAGUCGAACGGGCCCGCUCUCUUUUUUGGGGGUGGGUUGAGUGGCGAACGGGUGAGUAUCACGUGAGUAACCUGCCCCCUGCUCCUGGAUAACUGCUUGAAAGGGCGGCUAAUACGGGGUGUGCCGGCUGGUCCGCAUGGGCCUGGUCGGGAUAGUUUCAUCUUCGGGUGUUUCGGUGGGGGAUGGGCUCGCGGCCUAUCAGCUUGUUGGUGGGGUGAUGGCCCACCAAGGCGGUGACGGGUAGCCGGCCUGAGAGGGUGGGCGGCCAGACUGGGACUGAGACACGGCCCAGACUCCGGCGGGAGGCAGCAGUGGGGGGGAUUGCACAAUGGGCGGAAGCCUGAUGCAGCGACGUCGCGUGAGGGAUGGAGGCCUUCGGGUUGGGAACCUCUUUCUCCGGUGGUGAAGGCCCUGUCCGUUGCGGCGGGGUUGACGGUAGCCGGGGAUGAAGCGCCGGCUAACUACGUG